CAGAGGCAAGGGUAUCUCAUUGGAGAUUCCUGUCUAUCUGAGGCCUUCUGAGGCCACAACAGAGCAUUUGGGAGGGAAGUUGAGGACUGUUUAACAAGAGAGCGAAUGUGAACAAAACACCCAUGUGCAAACCAGUCACCAGGAACUGCAAACCUUGCUGAUGCCACCUGGGGACUAUGACUCGCCAAUAGUCAUGUUGUUCUUUUGGAUUGCGUAUCACAAUGUGGCCCGACACCUCCAUGCCUUCUGAGUAACAACCCAGCCCUGGUCUUCCUCAAUACCAGACUGAGGUGAUGAGAGCUCUUUCUGUUGAAAAAUCCACAAAGCUGCAGUAAAUCUUCAUGAAAAUCAGCUGUUUGAUUCCUGGAUGAAAUUCAUCUCUAAAUCUCCUUAUUCAGGAUGAGCAGCUAUCAUGCUUCUGCGAUUCACAUGACUAGUUUGAUAGAUGCGGUAAACAACCUGCAAUAAGAGCUGCAUGCCUAUGGGAAGAAAACUUUAUGCCAACAUAAAAUGAUUUUAUUGUGUGUUGUUUAUCAAGGGAGAAAGAUUAAGCUUUUAUAAAGCACAGCUUUAUCCUGCUGAGAGGUGUGACACCCAAAAAAUUAAAAAGUGUAGUUAAUAGAUAGGGGAGCUAAAGAGAAUCACAAAUAAUUUUGAAAUUUUUUAUAGAAAUAAGGUCCCUUCAUAAAGGCCAUUGCCAAUAUUUGUACGUUGAGUUCAGUUAAGCAGAACUCCAUCCUUUGCCUCAGGCAUUGUUAUUUCCAAGCUACUCUGAAGUGUCUAUAAUAUACUCCAUUAUAUCCUUAAUUAAGCAUCACAGGACGAAGAACAAAGAAGCUUUGCAAACAGUUCAUACAGAAAUGUUCUUCCUUGUGGAGAAGGGAAAUGUUGUGCAUGGCAUCUUUUCCUUGUUAUGAUAAAGCAUGAUGGAAAAAUAAAACUACCUUACAAUACUUUUUGUAGUAAAUUUAACCAAAUUGUGUACCAUGAACCUGUGAGUGGAUAAUGGUUUGACAGUGACUGGAGAACACCAACAUGAUUAAGAAAACUUAA